AAUUUUUCUUGAUUUUUAGGUAUCUUAUUUACGAAGGAUUGAAGUAAUGAAACCGAACUUUAGGCACAGACUAAGAUUAGUCUGUGCUUUAGGUUUGCCGAAUGUGUUUCUUAAUAGAUGAUAGAUGGCGAUUGCUGUAAUAGGGAUUUAACACAGAUUCAACACAGGUAGGGGGCAGCUCAGCCGCAGCAGGUAGGGCUGGUUGUUGUGGAGCUGGUACCGAAUUGGUGUUUUUGGAAAGUUGACGUAAUAGCAGAUUCCUUAGGAACGUUUUUACGAUUUUUAAGUGUCUUAUUUACGAAGAACGAAGCUAUGAAAAUCAACUUCAGGCUUGCGAUGUUUGUGUCCGUCGCUGGAUAGCGUUUAGCUUGGAAAAGAAACAUUUUGUGUCAGAUAAAGUAACCAUAACCAUGGUAAUCUAUAAGCUAAAGAGCUAUAAGAAAGUUUGUAUACCUGUAACCGGUUUUUACGAAAUUGAAACUUAUUUAUGAAUGAUAUGGCGUGUUGAUUGGAAUAGGAAAAGUUUUGUAAAUUGAUUGGAAGGGGAAAGGUUUUGUAAACAGGUUGUUUGUCAACCAAAAAGUCGCCGGUAAGGUUUCAUGUAUUUAUACAGUUUUUAUUUUGUCGUUUUCUGUAGCUUCUUACUCCCAUUUGAAGAAUUGACAACGCAUGUCGUUCUGUGUGUCAGCAAGGUUUUUAAUAAUUUCGAUGUCACAGAAGAAUCAUGGUAAAAUGGGGAAACCACCAUUUUGCGAUCAAAUCUCCAAACCGUUAUUGCAUCUAUGUGGAAAAGAGAGCUUAAAAUGUGUCAGCAGCUAGCCUCCUUACAAGAAAAAGUAAUUCAUAUGGAUACACAGUAUUCAAAACAGCUGGAAGCAUUAAGACAGAAAUGAAGUUCAAAGUUUUUUCGUUUCAUUUUGACAAUAUUAUUUAGUCUGUGGUGGCAUUAUAUACCUUAUUUGAUAUGUGAAUAUUUUUUGGAAAGUGUUAAAACUUCUCAGAAAUUAGAUUUCGAGGAGUUACAUAACAAGUGCAAGAAGAUUGAACGAAAUGUGAAAGAGCAACACAAGAAUAAAAUACUUCCAACCUCAACUCAAGAAUCAUCAAACAAAAGAAAAUCCUAAACAGAUCUUCUUUGAAAUGGCUGAAUGUGAGGUGAACAUUCUAAAGUCAAAACAGGAAUUCAGACUGACUAUUAAACGUUUCCGUCUAAAAUCGACAGGCACUGAACAUAAUGUUUAAAGUUUGGUCUAACUACAUUAUUGCUAUGGUUGGAUUUGCAUUUCCUCAGUAGAAAUGUAACGCUACCGAUGCUGCAAUUCUGAUGGAAACGCUCAAAUUCAGCCUUCAGUCGUCCAUGUAUACAAUAACGGUAGAUGGCUGAUUUUUUUGUUCUUCCACUCCCACCUGUCCCCGUUCUUUCUUUUUUCUUUUUCCGUCCGGAGCUUACAAAAACUGAUUGGGAAUGACAGCUAUUUCUAAUUCAACCGUUAUGGAGCUGUAAAAACUACAAAUGAUUUCCGUUGGGGUUCAAGAAAAUUUGAUAGACCUAUUCCAUGGCAGUGAAAAUGGUAUGCAGAAAUGGUAUGCAGCAACUUAGAGCGGGUCAAAGUUAUUGAUUGCUGAGUCAGAGAACAAUAUGUAAAAUCUGACAUUCUAGCCCUCGAAACCUCAGCUGACCAUAUGCUUCAACAAGAGUAUAACGCAAUUAUAAUUUUGAGGAGGUCCCAACUCAGUUUACGCCCGGUUUACGCAGAACAUGCCCCACUUUACGACCCAGCAAUCUUUACUUGUGGUCUUCCAGUUCAGGGAAUUUGUUAUGCUCUUAUGCAUGCAAUUACUCAACAAAGAAUUAGAAAAACAAUUAUGUCAUAAAAUAAGCAGCAGUGUAUCGAUUACGUCCGGCGUAUGUUAGGGCGUAAGAUCGUGCUCGUGCUGGUAAGCGGCGAAAUCGAUUCCGCCGUUUGUGCUACCCUUCUCCAUAAAGCACUUCUACAGGGUGAGGACUCGUCGCGAGUGCAGACCAUCCAUAUCGAUAACGGUUUCCUGUGUAAAGAUGAAUCCGAGCAGGUCGUCACUAGUUUACAGCAACUCGGGCGCAAUCUUCGGACAGUGGUUUCUCAUUUCUUCUUCAUACUAGCGAUCAGAUUUGAUGUUUCGAAUUGUUUUAAGUUGUUAAAGCAAGUUUGACCUUCUACGAUGCUUUCGCCAACGUGCAUGGUCGCCAAACUUUGUCCUUGUGUUGGACUGUGAAUCCGGAAGGAAAACGUCAAAUAAUUUGCGAUACGUUUGUUAAAGUGACAGAUAGUGCGACUAACGAUUUAAAUCUUAAUUGGGAAAAUCUACGUCUCGGACGAGGUACUUGGAUGCCGGAUUCAAUUGGACUCUUUGUGCGCUGAUGCCACAAAUACUCUUAAUGAUUCCGAAAUGGUUCGUCAAUUGCGCCUUCACGGUCGUGUAGUAGAACCUAAUAAAGACUUCCAUAAAGAUGAAGUAAGAGCCUUAGGUCGCGAACUGGGUCUGCUCGCAGAAUUACUAAUGAUGAACUACUAAUCAUAAUGUCAAUCGCGUUUGCUACGUAUUCGGAAAGGCUGAAUCGGUGGCAAACGUUACACCUACCUUCUUAACGAGUAACAUUUUGGCAACUUUGAGGGAAGCGGAUUAUUUGGCAUAUAAAAUAUAACAGGAUUCGGGUUGCCAUAAGAAGCUAGCCCAGAUGCCCAUCGUCUUGAUCCCUCUUCACUUUAAUCACGAUUCGAGUCAACGCAUUCCAUUAUGCCAGCAAUCGGUCGUUUUUCCACCAUUCUUUUCACAGGAUUUGAUGACUGGACUUCCUGCAAUUCCUGAUACUUAUCUGCCCCAAGAGGUUGUAGAAGUUGAAGCCGUCUCAAAUGUUCCAGGAAUUUCCAGGGUCUUGCAUGACCUGACGGCAAAACCACCCGGGACAACGGAGUGGGAAGGAUUUGAUUUACGAACUUUACUUAGGCAAAUGAUCUCCGCACUCUUUAUAGGACGCGGAUACAGAGUUGUAUCAUUGACCAGAUUUGGAUGGAAAUAUUAUGAACAGUGGAUUCUGUAUAGACUUUUGAAAUUGAAAAUCAAUCAGCUUUACCUUAAGUGAAAAUCUCUUAAACUCGCUUUUUAAGAGGAGUUCAUGUGAUAACUUGUUGACUAUUCCUUAAAUGUACAUGCACAUUUGUUGGAAAUAAUGGGGGCAGUUGUUUUUCGUCGAACUAGGUGGGUUGUUGUUCCUCUCCUUUCUGAAACUACCCUUUUUUGCCCUAUUAUUAAUCUAAUUCUAUUGGAAACGUUCGGAUGUCGCCCAAAAACAAGCGGCCAUUUGAGGCGUUAUGCCAUUUCCUGAAAUUGAACAUUCAGAAAAUGUGGUAUAUGUUCGCAACUUGUUAAGAUUCAUUCAGAGUGGUACCAUAAAGUAUGACUGUAGGAAAGGGUACGUAGGCUUCUAAAAAUUAAAAACAGCUCUGACGUCUUUUGCAGCUAGCCAACAAUUUGCAUAACAUAAAAAAUGAGCAGUAUUAUUCGAAAAAUUUCAAAUACUUUUCUUGCAUGCGUUAGGGUGAUGCAGCUAUUAUUCCGUGUUUUUUUUUUUUUUUCGCUAUUAACAGUACAGGCUGACACUACGAGCAAUGGCAGUUUUUGUUACAAAUGUUUUAGCGCCUCGUCUUGCAACUAGUACUUGAUAUGCUAGGUUUUUAUGUUUUAAAUUGGAAUUCAACUAUUUGAGAUCAGUAAAGUUCAAGCACUUAAAAGCAAGAAUUGUACUGUUUUCGAAGUAAAAUCUAUUUCUUUCUUCUAAUUCUUUCUUUGGGUUUCAGGAAGAAAAACUAGAUGGCGUUAAUGUUCGUCUAUGAUAAAUAUUGCCAGUGACAACUAAAUUGGUGUUUGUUACGUUUCUACCCUGUUUAGUGUUUUAAAGAACUUUUCAUCAGAUAUUAACGAUAUGAUAUAAUCUGUUCAGUAUUGCUAUCGUUGUGUAUGUAUUGAAAAGCAAAUCCUUAAAAUAGAUUGUUUUUUGUAUGUGGUAAAGUAAAAGGUCAGGUAAAACAAGUAAAAGUAAGUGAAAGAUCACUAUUAAAUAGGAUUGAAUUUUGUAACUAUGCCAAGGUAACAAGCCGUCUUCUGGUAGAAAUUCUUAUGCCUUACGCCUUAGUUGUUACUGGUUGUCUGCUGAAUGUAGAUUACAAUCUAUUUUAAACAUUCUCUUGGUUACUAAACUCAGAUAUGCCACCUAUUUUUCACGAUUAUUUGCAUGGUUGACCCUCGAUUGUUGUUUGAAGGUGUAUUGUCACCAGACAUCCUUUGAAUGGUACAAUAUGUUUGCAUGUUAUUUCUUUCAGUUCAAUUUUCUGUCACACAAGGUUUUCAUUCUCCAGGUAAACCCACUAUCAGCAGCCUUACAAAGUUCUUCAUAAAUACAACCCCUGAGAAAACAUUAUCGUUGGAAAUUGUUUUUAUGUUGUGGUUGGGUUCUCCACUUUUAUUAUCCAUUUGCAAUUUUCACACUACUUCAUUAUCACCAUGGUAUGUCAAUUGCUUGAGUUUUGUUGGAAUAAUUUUUUAGGAAAUUUUUACCUACUUUUGGAAAACCUGCUUAACCUUAACUUAACUUUUGGAAAACCAGAAAAGGGAUUCUGGAAAUUGAUAAUUUCUAAUCUACACUGGUAAUCAGGUUUAUUUUUACAUGUAUAACAUAGAUCUGCAUUAAUGUUGUUUUGCUUUCCCACAAGCAGAUAACAAUAUUUAAUAUAUUUACGUUUCAGAAUGAGCUUCGAAUUUGAAGUUGAGUGUUUUAUCAGAUUACAGAUUCCGACUGAAAAUCAAACAAUUUCCUUCUACAAAUGGAUUUUGAAGUAUUAUGUGCAUGUGCAUGUGGUAUUAUGUACUCUAUGAUCCUUUAAUUGGUGAUCUACAAAAAAAAUGACCAUAGAAGGAAGUUUUUGCAGGAUCUGUUAUCGGCCGUCUAUGUUAUGCAGUAAUUGGAUCUGCAGUUUAGUUAUAGUAGAAUUUAUAUGAAAAAUGAUGUUUGAUUGGAAAAAGUUCCUGAUUGAGACAAGAGAUUUAAAAAAAUGAUACUGUUUGGAAGGACGACCGGCAAUUUCAAGAUUCAUUUAUUUCCUUCUACAUUAUACUAUUUAUAAUUUUUAAAAAAUUGAAUUGUAUAUCUGGGCUCCCUUCUUUUCUGUGGUCCCGUUUCCCCUUGACUCGUAAUAAGCCCGUAGGGGGUCAUGCCCCUACUGUGAUCAGCAGUAAA